UCGUUUAUGUUUUCUAGUGAAAUUGUACUAGAAUCCACUUGAAUUCUCACAACUUCACGUCAUAUCCCAGGUUGCAGCCGUUGAGCGAGGUUGUUGUUGUAUGAGCUGAUAGAAGAAAGCAAGUGUGUUAAAAAAACAUAAUGGUUCGAAGAAAUCCACGGCGGGUAAUAAGACCGAGGCCUAGGACAAGACCUCGCUGUCUUCAGUCCAGACGUCAAACCAUCAGGCUGGAGUAUGCUGAGCUAUAUUGGAUGCUCAGGAUUCGACGGUUGAGGAUUAUUAUGUGACCUGUUUGGAACUGAAAAUAAUUAAAACUUUUUGUCUUUU